rnacentral:rRNA from 1 species
GCAAGUCGAGCGGUAACGAUAGUAGCUUGCUAUCAGGCGUCGAGCGGCGGACGGGUGAGUAAUACUUAGGAAUCUACCUAGUAGUGGGGGAUAGCUCGGGGAAACUCGAAUUAAUACCGCAUACGUCCUACGGGAGAAAGGAGGGGAUCAUUAGACCUUGCGCUAUUAGAUGAGCCUAAGUCGGAUUAGCUAGAUGGUGGGGUAAAGGCCUACCAUGGCGACGAUCUGUAGCUGGUCUGAGAGGAUGAUC